rnacentral:rRNA from 1 species
AAUAUUGCACAAUGGGCGCAAGCCUGAUGCAGCAACACCGCGUGCGCGACGAAGGCCUUCGGGUCGUAAAGCGCUUUUCGGGGAGCUGAGCACGGAGAGUAUCCCCGGACGAAGGAUCGGAUAACUACGUGCCACAAGCCGCGGUAAAACGUAGGAUCCGAGACUUAUCCGAAUUCACUGGGUGUAAAGCGCAUGCAGGCGGCCGCACAAGUUGGCUGUGAAAUCUCCCGGCUCAACUGGGAGGGGACGUUCAAAACUGUGCGGCUCGAGGGCGGUAGAGGAAGGUAGAAUUCCCGGUGUAGUGGUGAAAUGCGUAGAUAUCGGGAGGAAUACCCGUGGCGAAGGCGACCUUCUGGACCGUUUCUGACGCUCAGAUGCGAAAGCUAGGGGAGCGAACGGG